UACAGGGGGUGCAACCGUUGCUCGGAAUUAUUGGGCGUAAAGCGCGCGUAGGCGGCUACCUAAGUCAGAUGUGAAAGCCCCUGGCUUAACUGGGGAAGUGCACCCGAAACUGAGUAGCUAGAGUGCGAAAGAGGGUCGCGGAAUUCCCGGUGUAGAGGUGAAAUUCGUAGAUAUCGGGAGGAACACCGGUGGCGAAGGCGGCGACCUGGGUCGACACUGACGCUGAGGCGCGAAAGCGUGGGGAGCAAACAGG
rnacentral:rRNA from 1 species